GCUCUCUCAGCUCUGCUCAGUUGCGUCUGUCUGUCUGAAAUGGUGCAACUGUCGUUAUUGGAGAGAGAAAGGAAAUGAGUUUAAUAUGCACGGCAGUGGGACCUUGUGAUGUGGUCUCCCUGCUCCUUUUCGAACUCGACACUU
rnacentral:snoRNA from 1 species